rnacentral:rRNA from 1 species
GUACUGUGCGAACGUUAUUCGGAAUCACUGGGCUUAAAGGGUGCGUAGGCGGCUUGCUAAGUAGGGUGUGAAAGCUCUCGGCCCAACCGAGGAAUUGCGCUCUAAACUGGCAGGCUUGAGUGAGAUAGGGGUGUGCGGAACUUCCAGUGGAGCGGUGAAAUGUGUUGAUAUUGGAAGGAACGCCGGUGGCGAAAGCGGCACACUGGGUCUCAACUGACGCUGAGGCACGAAAGCCAGGGUAGCGAACGGGGGAUUAGAUACCCCGGUAGUCCUGGCUGUAAACGAUGAGCACUAGACGGGAGGAACUUCGGUUUCUCCGGUCGCAGCGAAAGCAAUAAGUGCUCCGCCUGGGGAGUAUGGUCGCAAGGCUG